rnacentral:tRNA from 1 species
GGGGGUGUAGCUCAGCUUGGUUAGAGCGCCUGCCUGUCACGCAGGAGGUCGCGGGUUCGAGUCCCGUCACUCCCGCCA